GAGCACGUAGGUGGGUUUGUGAGUCAGGUGUGAAAGCCUUCUGUUCAAAGGAAGAACGGCAUCUGAAACUGCAGAUCUUGAGUGUAGGAGGGGAGAGUGGAACUUCUGGUGGAGCGGUGAAAUGCGUAGAUAUCAGAAGGAACGUCGGCGGCGAAAGCGACUCUCUGGCCUAUUACUGACACUGAGUGUGCGAAAGUUAGGGGAGCAAACGGGAUUAGAUACCCCGGUAGUCCUAACCGUAAACGAUGGGCACUAAGUAGAGGG
rnacentral:rRNA from 1 species